UCCAUUCCCGCCUGCUGUGAGACCCGUAGACCGCCGCCUGGUAUCCGCUGGUAUCCGGACCAGCUCUUUACCCCGAGAGAUUCGCCAGUCUGUCCGUCAGUUCUCUCACACACUUAGGGCCACCAGCUCGGGACAGACUGCACCGGGAUGGGAUUCCUUUACUAAUGUGACACAAUUGUAACAUCCUUGGCGCAGGCUAUAUGAAACCAUACAUUUUAUCCGACGAAUAACGAUCAUUGUUUGAAUUGACUGGUGUUGUAAUCUUACGUCUUGUGAGACAAUUUAUUGGUUAUACAAACCUAAGGACAACUCUUCUUGACCUCGUCGGCUCUGGACAAAAGGAAUUUCUAAUCUACUCACCUGGCAAGGCUUUACUCUAUCGACAGGUCGAAAAACUGAGCUCAUGCUGACGUACGUGAUUUACGUGCCCCUAGCUGUGGCCAUCGUUCUGGUCGUCGCCAUGGUAACGGUGGCUUGGAGCAAACGACGCCGUUCUCUGAAGGGAGACAAAUACAACCAGAUCGAGCGUGCUGAGAGUCACAGGUCGUCGGUCAGUCUCCCGCCCAUCAAGACGACUGUCAGGUAAGACAAAAACCUAAAUGUAUUUUGGUGAUAUA